GUUGUGGCCGAGUGGUUAAGGCGAUGGACUCGAAAUCCGUUGGGGUCUCCCUGCGCAGGUUCAAAUCCUGCCGUCUUCG